UGGCGCCGAAGAUGGCUGCCGUGUUGCAUGCUCCAGCACAGCAAUACAGUUUUUUGUUCGUUUUAACUAUUUUAGCUUUUUAUUUAUUGCUUUUAGUAGUAGAAGUAGGUAGUUUAAUAACGUAUGACAGAGAUACACUUAUAAGAAUUGGCCAUUCCGUUGCUCAUCGUAAUUCGGAUUUUAAUUUCCUAAACGCCGAUGCUCUGUUUACAAACAGAGCAGAGCCCUCUCUCUGGGAGACCCGGCGGCACCGUCGGAAACGUAGCCGGAGAAGGGGGAAGAGAGCCGGCGUCCUCGUACGACUGAGACAGCGGGCCUUCCGUCCUCCAUUACCCACCAUUCUGCUGGCUAACGUACAGUCUCUGGAGAACAAGCUCGGCGAACUGGGGGUGCGGAUCAGUUACCAGCGUGAGACGAGGGACUGCUGUGUGAUCUGUCUCACGGAGACCUGGCUGUCUGGAGAGGUUCCGAACUCGGCCAUCGAACCCGUGGGUUUCUCGGCGCACCGCGCGGACCGGACGAGAGAGCUCUCGGGGAAGAGCAGAGGGGGAGGUGUGUGUUUCAUGGUGAACAACUCGUGGUGUGACCGGAGAAACAUACAUCUUAUCAAGUCCUUCUGCUCCCCUGACCUGGAAUACCUCAUGCUCCUGUGUCGGCCAUAUUGGUUACCGAGGGAGUUUACGGCGGUUAUCAUCACCGCUGUCUACAUCCCCCCCCAGGCCGAUACGGAGCAGGCGCUUAAGGAGCUGUACGGGAGGAUCGGCGAGCAGGAAACCGCGCACCCUGAGGCCGCGAUUAUUGUUACUGGGGACUUUAAUAAGGCUGACCUCAGGACAAUAGCGCCCAAACUCCACCAGCAUGUAACCUGCAACACACGGGAGGACCGGGUCUUGGACCGCUGCUACUCCCCCUUCCUGAACGGCUACAAGUCCCUGCCCCGCCCACCCUUCGGCAAAUCGGACCACUGCUCUGUGCUGCUCCUCCCCGCCUACAGGCAGAAGCUGAAGCGAGAAGCGCCCGCCC
rnacentral:lncRNA from 1 species